AACGAACGCUGGCGGCAGGCUUAACACAUGCAAGUCGAGCGCCCCGCAAGGGGAGCGGCAGACGGGUGAGUAACGCGUGGGAAUCUACCCAUCUCUACGGAAUAACGCAUGGAAACGUGUGCUAAUACCGUAUACGUCCUUCGGGAGAAAGAUUUAUCGGAGAUGGAUGAGCCCGCGUUGGAUUAGCUAGUUGGUGGGGUAAAGGCCUACCAAGGCGACGAUCCAUAGCUGGCCUGAGAGGAUGAUCAGCCACACUGGGACUGAGACACGGCCCAGACUCCUACGGGAGGCAGCAGUGGGGAAUAUUGGACAAUGGGCGCAAGCCUGAUCCAGCCAUGCCGCGUGAGUGAUUAAGUCCCUAGGGUUGUAAAGCUCUUUCACCGGUGAAGAUAAUGACGGUAACCGGAGAAGAAGCCCCGGCUAACUUCGUGCCAGCCGCCGCAGUAACAC
rnacentral:rRNA from 1 species